AUUGAACGCUGCCGGCAGGCUUAACACAUGCCAGUCGAGCGAGCGGCGGACGGGUGAGUAAUGUCUGGGAACCUGCCUGCUGUAGGGGGAUAACUACUGGAAACGGUAGCUAAUACCGCAUACCAUCAGAUGUUCCCAGCUGGGAUUAGCUAGUAGGUGGGGUAAUGGCUCACCUAGGCGACGAUCCCUAGCUGGUCUGAGAGGAUGACCAGCCACACUGGAACUGAGAAACGGUCCAGACUCCUACGGGAGGCAGCAGUGGGGAAUAGUGCAAAAUGGGCGCAAGCCUGAUGCAGCCAUGCCGCGUGUAUGAAGAAGGCCUUCGGGUUGUAAAGCACUUUCAGCGAGGAGGCGUUACUCGCAGAAGAAGCACCGGCUAACUCCGUGCCAGCAGCCGCGGUAAUUC
rnacentral:rRNA from 1 species